rnacentral:rRNA from 1 species
GAUGAACGCUGGCGGCGUGCUUAACACAUGCAAGUCGAACGGAAAGGCCGAAGCUUGCUUCGGUACUCGAGUGGCGAACGGGUGAGUAACACGUGGGUGAUCUGCCCUGUACUUCGGGAUAAGCUUGGGAAACUGGGUCUAAUACCGGAUAUGACGAUCUCUUGGAUGGGGUUGUGGAAAGCCUUUGCGGUAUGGGAUGAGCUCGCGGCCUAUCAGCUUGUUGGUGGGGUAAUGGCCUACCAAGGCGUCGACGGGUAGCCGGCCUGAGAGGGUGUACGGCCACAUUGGGACUGUGAGACGGCCCAGACUCCUACGGGAGGCAGCAGUGGGGAAUAUUGCACAAUGGGCGCAAGCCUGAUGCAGCGACGCCGCGUGGGGGAUGACGGCCUUCGGGUUGUAAACUCCUUUCGCAAUCGACGAAGCCUUUUGGUGACGGUAGGUUGAGAAGAAGCACCGGCUAACUACGUG